AACACAUGCAAGUCGAACGGUAACAUUUCUAGCUUGCUAGAAGAUGACGAGUGGCGGACGGGUGAGUAAUGCUUGGGAACUUGCCUUUGCGAGGGGGAUAACAGUUGGAAACGACUGCUAAUACCGCAUAAUGUCUUCGGACCAAACGGGGCUUCGGCUCCGGCGCAAAGAGAGGCCCAAGUGAGAUUAGCUAGUUGGUAAGGUAACGGCUUACCAAGGCGACGAUCUCUAGCUGUUCUGAGAGGAAGAUCAGCCACACUGGGACUGAGACACGGCCCAGACUCCUACGGGAGGCAGCAGUGGGGAAUAUUGCACAAUGGGGGAAACCCUGAUGCAGCCAUGCCGCGUGUGUGAAGAAGGCCUUCGGGUUGUAAAGCACUUUCAGUUGUGAGGAAAAGUUAGUAGCUAAUACCUGCUAGCCGUGACGUUAACAACAGAAGAAGCACCGGCUAACUCCGUGCCAGCAGCCGCGGUAAUACGGAGGGUGCGAGCGUUAAUCGGAAUUACUGGGCGUAAAGCGCACGCAGGCGGUUUGUUAAGCUAGAUGUGAAAGCCCCGGGCUCAACCUGGGAUGGUCAUUUAGAACUGGCAGACUAGAGUCUUGGAGAGGGGAGUGGAAUUCCAGGUGUAGCGGUGAAAUGCGUAGAUAUCUGGAGGAACGUCAGUGGCGAAGGCGACUCCCUGGCCAAAGACUGACGCUCAUGUGCGAAAGUGUGGGUAGCGAACAGGAUUAGAUACCCUGGUAGUCCACACCGUAAACGCUGUCUACUAGCUGUUUGGACUUUCAUUAGACUGAGUAGCGAAGCUAACGCGCUAAGUAGACCGCCUGGGGAGUACGGCCGCAAGGUUAAAACUCAAAUGAAUUGACGGGGGCCCGCACAAGCGGUGGAGCAUGUGGUUAAUUCGAUGCAACGCGAAGAACCUUACCUACACUUGACAUGCUGAGAAUUUUCCAGAGAUGGAUUAGUGCCUUCGGGAACUCAGACACAGGUGCUGCAUGGCUGUCGUCAGCUCGGUGUCGGUGAGAUGUUGGGUUAAGUCCGGCAACGAGCGCAACCCUUGUCCUUAGUUGCCAGCAUUGGAGUGGGCACUUUAAGAGAGACUGCCGGUGUGACAA
rnacentral:rRNA from 1 species